rnacentral:misc_RNA from 1 species
GAAAUGCGAUACGCAAUGCGAAUUGCAGAAUUCCGCGAGUCAUCAGAUCUUUGAACGCAGCCCGCGCCGGUGGGAUAUCCCACUGGCAUGUUUGUUUCAGUGUGUUUGAUCUACAUCACAAACCUCAAUGCGAUUGAAGCGAAUUUUCCUAAUCGAAAGUUGGUUUCUCUCGUUAAAUCCGAGCGUUUUGCGACGAGUCCUAACAAAAAGGCUUCUCGCAUCCAAGCGAAGCGGUCGCUGUUCAGCAGUGAUUUCGCUUGGAUCUUAGUCAAAUUACAAGUUUUCAUAAAAUUUGUUUUUGAGCGAGUUUCAAAGCUGGACUCAUUAAGUUGCACGCAUAUAUUAAUUUAAAAAUCUUCAUUUUGCACCUGAAAUCAAGCAAGACCACCCGCUGAACUUA